UACGGGGGGGGCAAGCGUUGUUCGGAAUUACUGGGCGUAAAGGGCUCGUAGGUGGCCAACUAAGUCAGACGUGAAAUCCCUCGGCUUAACCGGGGAACUGCGUCUGAUACUGGAUGGCUUGAGUUCGGGAGAGGGAUGCGGAAUUCCUGGUGUAGCGGUGGAAUGCGCAGAUAUCAGGAGGAACACCGGUGGCGAAGGCGGGUCUCUGGGCAGUAACUGACGCUGAGGAGCGAAAGUGUGGGGAGCGAACAGG
rnacentral:rRNA from 1 species